rnacentral:rRNA from 1 species
GAUGAACGCUGGCGGCGUGCCUAAUACAUGCAAGUCGAGCGAACAGACGAGGAGCUUGCUCCUCUGACGUUAGCGGCGGACGGGUGGGUAACACGUGGAUAACCUACCUAUAAGACUGGGAUAACUUCGGGAAACCGGAGCUAAUACCGGAUAACAUGUUGAACCGCAUGGUUCAACAGUGAAAGACGGUCUUGCUGUCACUUAUAGAUGGAUCCGCGCCGCAUUAGCUAGUUGGUAAGGUAACGGCUUACCAAGGCAACGAUGCGUAGCCGACCUGAGAGGGUGAUCGGCCACACUGGAACUGAGACACGGUCCAGACUCCUACGGGAGGCAGCAGUAGGGAAUCUUCCGCAAUGGGCGAAAGCCUGACGGAGCAACGCCGCGUGAGUGAAGAAGGUCUUCGGAUCGUAAAACUCUGUUAUUAGGGAAGAACAAAUGUGUAAGUAACUAUGCACGUCUUGACGGGACCUAAUCAGAAAGCCACGGCUAACUACGU